GGAGCGGGAGGUGGGAAGCGCUUCGAGAUCCUGGAAGGGGAAAGGGAAAUAAAGAGAGCAUCAGUGGAUCCACUCGGCGCGAGCGGUGGCUAGACAGGUCCUGACAGGACGUACACUCGCAUCUGAUAGGCCCGGCGCUUGCACCGCUCUCAUUGCUGUGGCAACGGGGGGGGGCUUCGGCCCAACCCACGGAAGGCGAAAAGCCAGGGAAUCGCCGACCCUGCGGCCUUUCUAUUGGCGCUGCUGAUGACUUUUGGCCAGUGGAUCUGGAGGAUUCUCCUCAGACAGCUUUUAUUAAAGAUCACAUUGAAUGGCAGGACAGAUUGGAGAAGCUAAAAUGCUUGGUCCUUUUCUUACGUUCCUACUGGAAAAGCGGCCUGGGUGUGGAAAACCAAGAUAAUCUCCCAGCCUCUUCUGCCUCAAGGAAAACAAAGCCAGCUAAUAUCUUCCCUUGUAAUCAAGAUGCUCCAAUCCAGGUAUUAUUGUUUGGAGAAAUGCCUUGAUCAAGACACAUCUCCAAUCUUCAAAUCGCAGGGCAGUUUGCAUUCCGCAAGCAAUAUAUGGCUUUUAUAUUUUAUCCAUAAGAUAACAAGGAAGCAACACCUAAAUUAAUACUCAGAAAUGCUGCAAUAUUUAAACCUGGUGCAUCUUAAUAACUUUUUAUGAAAAUGAAAUCCACAAACCAGGCUGCACAAUCUUCAGAAUUGAGCUCUCAGAGAAGCAGAAAAUUCAAUACUUCUAUUGCUGAGCAAACGUUUGGACCAACAGGAGACAGCAGGAGUGGCCUGAUUUGAUGAACACAGUCAUUCAGAGUUGAUGGAUAGCUGAGACCCUGUGAGUAGGGAUAAAAGACAGGUCUGGAGAGACACCCUUCAGACACACCAGUGGACACUGACUGAGUGUUGUGAACCCACAGAAAGGUGGGAGUUUCAGAGACCGAAUGAGGAGAUCGGUCAAUAAAGUUGACAGUGGGACAGCAGGGCUGGUGGGGACUUGUGUGUGUGUCCACUCAUGCCAGAGUGAUGAGUCCACCACAGAAGAACGGUCUAGCUGAAGGACGGAGGGUUCAUAACUGAAUGGUCACAACGACACGACAGGUUAAGAAAGCCACAGAAGAUUUGUUUGCUGCAGCUGCCUAAUCUCUCGCUCUCUCUCGCUCUCCAACAAUUACAUAACUACCUGAGCACGUAUGAACUGUACUGAACUUUAUACUUUUCCAUGACAAUUCAUUUACCCCUAGACAUUGAUAGAGCUUGUUUAUUAUUGCUUAUUAUUAUUCCUACACUUUUAGGUUUAUUACUGCUAACUUGUUUUAUAUGUAUAUUUGCAUUUUUGAUACUGUAUUGUGUCGUUUACUAAUAAACACCUUUAGUGUUGCUACCACCAGACUCCAACAGAUGCUUCUAUCUUUGCUAGUCUGACACCCAG